CCAAGGCGAUGAUCCGUAGGGGGCGUGAGAGCGUGGCCCCCCACACUGGCACUGAGACACGGGCCAGACUCCUACGGGAGGCAGCAGUGAGGAAUAUUGCACAAUGGGCGCAAGCCUGAUGCAGCAACGCCGCGUGAGGGACGAAGGCCUUCGGGUUGUAAACCUCUUUUCUGAGGGACGAGGAAGGACGGUACCUCAGGAAUAAGUCUCGGCUAACUACGUGCCAGCAGCCGCGGUAAAACGUAGGAGGCGAGCGUUAUCCGGAUUUACUGGGCGUAAAGCGCGCGCAGGUGGCUUCGUGAGUCGGACAUGAAAGCUCCUGGCUUAACUGGGAGAGGCUGUUCGAUACUGCGGGGCUUGAGGUUGGGAGAGGGACGCGGAAUUCCCGGUGUAGUGGUGGAAUGCGUAGAUAUCGGGAGGAACACCAGUGGCGCAAGCGGCGUCCUGGCCCACACCUGACGCUGAGGUGCGAAAGCGUGGGUAGCAAACAGGAUUAGAUACCCUGGUAGUCCACGCUGUAAACGAUGUCAACUGGGUGUCGGUAGUUUUACACUAUCGGUGCCGAAGCUAACGCG
rnacentral:rRNA from 1 species